AAUUGAACGCUGGCGGCAGGCCUAACACAUGCAAGUCGAGCGGUAGCACAGAGAGCUUGCUCUCGGGUGACGAGCGGCGGACGGGUGAGUAAUGUCUGGGAAACUGCCUGAUGGAGGGGGAUAACUACUGGAAACGGUAGCUAAUACCGCAUAACGUCGCAAGACCAAAGUGGGGGACCUUCGGGCCUCAUGCCAUCAGAUGUGCCCAGAUGGGAUUAGCUGGUAGGUGGGGUAACGGCUCACCUAGGCGACGAUCCCUAGCUGGUCUGAGAGGAUGACCAGCCACACUGGAACUGAGACACGGUCCAGACUCCUACGGGAGGCAGCAGUGGGGAAUAUUGCACAAUGGGCGCAAGCCUGAUGCAGCCAUGCUGCGUGUGUGAAGAAGGCCUUCGGGUUGUAAAGCACUUUCAGCGGGGAGGAAGGCGGUGAGGUUAAUAACCUCAUCGAUUGACGUUACCCGCAGAAGAAGCACCGGCUAACUCCGUGCCAGCAGCCGCGGUAAUACGGAGGGUGCAAGCGUUAAUCGGAAUUACUGGGCGUAAAGCGCACGCAGGCGGUCUGUCAAGUCGGAUGUGAAAUCCCCGGGCUCAACCUGGGAACUGCAUUCGAAACUGGCAGGCUAGAGUCUUGUAGAGGGGGGUAGAAUUCCAGGUGUAGCGGUGAAAUGCGUAGAGAUCUGGAGGAAUACCGGUGGCGAAGGCGGCCCCCUGGACAAAGACUGACGCUCAGGUGCGAAAGCGUGGGGAGCAAACAGGAUUAGAUACCCUGGUAGUCCACGCUGUAAACGAUGUCGAUUUUGGGAGGUUGUGCCCUUGAGGCGUGGCUUCCGGAGCUAACGCGUUAAAUCGACCGCCUGGGGAGUACGGCCGCAAGGUUAAAACUCAAAUGAAUUGACGGGGGCCCGCACAAGCGGUGGAGCAUGUGGUUUAAUUCGAUGCAACGCGAAGAACCUUACCUGGUCUUGACAUCCACAGAACUUAGCAGAGAUGCUUUGGUGCCUUCGGGAACUGUGAGACUGGUGCUGCAUGGCUGUCGUCAGCUCGUGUUGUGAAAUGUUGGGUUAAGUCCCGCAACGAGCGCAACCCUUAUCCUUUGUUGCCAGCGGUUAGGCCGGGAACUCAAAGGAGACUGCCAGUGAUAAACUGGAGGAAGGUGGGGAUGACGUCAAGUCAUCAUGGCCCUUACGACCAGGGCUACACACGUGCUACAAUGGCAUAUACAAAGAGAAGCGACCUCGCGAGAGCAAGCGGACCUCAUAAAGUAUGUCGUAGUCCGGAUUGGAGUCUGCAACUCGACUCCAUGAAGUCGGAAUCGCUAGUAAUCGUAGAUCAGAAUGCUACGGUGAAUACGUUCCCGGGCCUUGUACACACCGCCCGUCACACCAUGGGAGUGGGUUGCAAAAGAAGUAGGUAGCUUAACCUUCGGGAGGGCGCUUACCACUUUGUGAUUCAUGACUGGGGUG
rnacentral:rRNA from 1 species